GUUAAAGCUGGUAAAUUUUUAAAUACUUAAAGACUAAAAUUGAUAAUUUUAUAAUUAAGUGAUUAAAAUUGAUAAGUGUGUGUAUAGGUGACAAAUUUUUCAAGAACCAUUUUUAGACCUAUUUGGAUAGACUAGUGGUGCACAUCCCUCGUGUUGCCUUCCUUAACCUUUCAAACUCAUUCAAUCACCAAAUAGCUUUUAAUUUCAUCCUUUAUAGUCCAGGAUUGGUAUAACAUAUUUCCAAUUGCAAUUUUUUGUAGGUCUGCUGUGAGCUUGUUCAACUGUGUUUAACUUUGCUGUAGGGAACAAUAGACGAGGUCGCUUUGUUAAGGUUCUCGCGCAUUCAAAAUAAUUGAACUUGGUGCUGCAACAGAUUUGAGAGUAGGAAUGAAUUAUAUUCCGAAGGAGUUUCUUUUAGAUCCAAGGUUUAGAAGACGCAAGUAAACCUAUACAAGCAUAAUGGAUUCUUCAACAACCCACACUCUACAAUGCGUUAGGAUCAUUUUCAAAAUAUUUCUUUCAUUACUAUUAUAAGCUUUAUUAACAUUAUAUUCUAUUAUAAUGUUUAAAUAUUAGUAUUAUUAACAAAUAACCGUA